rnacentral:rRNA from 1 species
CGCGUAGGUGGUUUAACAAGUUGAAGGUGAAAUUUCGAGGCUCAACCUUGAAGCAGCCUUUAAAACUGUUAGACUAGAGUGUAUGCGGAGAAGACGGAAUUUCACGUGUAGCGGUGAAAUGCGUAGAUAUGUGAAGGAACACCGGUGGCGAAAGCGGUUUUCUAGCAUACGUCUGACACUAAGGCGCGAAAGCGAGGGGAGCAAACA